AAGUCGUAACAAGGUCUCCGUAGGUGAACCUGCGGAGGGAUCAUUAACUUGUAUGGUUUGUGUAUGUUAGAAAUAGCAUGCACAGCCAAUCAAACCAAAACAAACAAACCGUGAAUUCGAGUAUUCAGUUACUCAACGCCCCCGAACGUCGAAACAACGAAGUUUACUACUUCGUCUAGUAGCUUUCGGACCAUUUUUUUUAUUCAUAACCUAUUUCACCCGCUCGUAUAUUCAUUGACUGAAAAACAAAAGGGCGUUUGUCGCGUAACAGUGAUGAAACCACCUUGAAACCUUCGAAUUAUUCGAAAUCUAAGCACAACUCUUAGCAACGGAUAUCUUGGUUCUC
rnacentral:misc_RNA from 1 species